AGUGCUUAUUACACUACGCGGUAUUCAGACAGUCUUACUAAGACUGUCUUAAAAUCUAACUAGACAAGCUCGCUAUUACACUGUGCUGAAUAUCGCAUGCUAACUCAUUUGCAAGGCGUACGUAGUCGGUGACGGUUGUCGCGCGAUGGGAAAACUUUCAAAGCACCAGAAAAUCGCCAUAGCUCUUGCCGCAUCUAUUAAUUUAAAUACAAAAAAGAAAAGAAAAAUAUGGGUGAAAGAGUAUUUACUUUUACGAGAAAAAUUAUCAAAUAUGCAAAUACUGAGUGUUCUGGAACCAUGUGACUUAAGAAACUACCUUAGAGUAGGAGUUGCCGAGUUUGAAUGUCUUUUGAAAUUAGUUACUCCGUAUAUUCAAAAAGAAGAUACGAUUCUUAGACAAAGUGUCAGUGCUAAACAAAGAUUGGUAGUUACUUUAAGAUUCCUGGCAACGGGCAACUCCUAUCAAGACCUAAGGUUCAGCUCUUUGAUAUCGCAACCUCUUUUAUCGUCAAUUAUACCAGAAACAUGCCGGGCUAUCUACAAAUGCUUAAAACAUUUGAUCAAGAUACCUGAAAAUGAGACAGAAUGGACAGAAAUUGCUGAGGAAUUCGAAACAAAAUGGAAUUUCAGUCACUGUAUUGGAUCAUGUGAUGGGAAGCAUAUCGCCAUCGAAAAACCCCCCGGAAGUGGCUCUUUGUUCUAUAAUUAUAAGGGAUUCUUCAGUAUAGUGCUGUUUGCUGUUGUAAACGCUAACUACGAAUUCAUGUAUAUACACACAGGCACCAAUGGAUCCGUUGCAGAUGGAGCAAUUUUAAAAUGUACAAAAUUUUAUAAGAAAAUGAUGAACAAUUCUUUAAAUUUGCCAUCUCCAUCUCCACUACCAGGCACAAACGAAAUUGUACCAUACGUGUUUCUGGGGGAUAGUGCAUUCGCAUUAAAUAAAAAUUUAAUGAAACCGUUUCCUUUUAAAAAUAUUAAUCGUUCACAAAGGAUUUUUAAUUAUCGAUUAUCGCGAGCCAGAAGAGUGGUUGAAAAUGCCUUUGGCAUAUUAAGUUCCCGUUUCAGAAUACUGCGUAGACCACUUGAUCUAGAUCUGGACAAUGUGGAUGCUGUAGUGUUGGCAUGUUGCGCUCUGCAUAACUUUCUGAGGAAACGAGUACCAACUUAUAUAUCUCAUUCUAAUAUUGACUCAGAAAAUAUAAGACUGGGUACGUUUCGCGAAGGAGAUUGGAGACAAACCUCUGCACCCUUAGUUUCAUUACAGCGUUCAUCAAAUAGGCAGCGUAAUGAAGAUGGCAACAUUGUUCGCAAUAAAUUCAUGGACUAUUUCAAUUCUGUUGGACGUGUUAGUUUCCAAGACCGAAUGAUUGAUGUUGUACCACCAUAAUAUUUGUUGUACCUACCAUUUUAUCUGAUUAAAUAAUGCUUAGUAAAAAAUAAAA